UUUAAUGAGGUGUUUAGCAUCUUACAUUUUGGUUGUAAGGGAGGUUAGUUACCCAUUAUUU
rnacentral:tRNA from 1 species